rnacentral:rRNA from 1 species
UACGUAGGGGGCAAGCGUUGUCCGGAUUUAUUGGGCGUAAAGAGCGUGUAGGCGGCCUGAAAGGUCAGCUGUGAAAACUCGAGGCUCAACCUCGAGACGUCGGUUGAAACCAUCUGGCUAGAGUCCGGAAGAGGAGUGUGGAAUUCCCGGUGUAGCGGUGAAAUGCGCAGAUAUCGGGAAGAACACACGUGGCGAAGGCGGCACUCUGGGACGGUACUGACGCUGAGACGCGAAAGCGUGGGGAGCGAACAGG